rnacentral:rRNA from 1 species
AUUCCCCAAGUAACGGCGAGUGAACAGGGACAAGCCUAGCGCUUAGGCUCAACAGGAUGGCCACCACUAACAUGGUGGUCGUCUUCUACCCAUAAAGCUGUUGAGCGGUGCAGCGUUACAAACCGUAAUGUUUAGUGGCGCCAUUGGUAGUGUGGGACUCGUUCCACACACUACUCCCAGCCUAGCAUGCAAGUUCCAUUGACUUGGACUAAUUGCAAAUGACCCAGUGCUUGGGGCAACUUGAGCACUUGGUUGAGCCAAAGUGGGUGAAAGCCCUAUACCGUGCAGGCAUUGGCGUUACGAAUUGCGGAGGGCCCCCUAAAAAGGGUCCAAUUUGUUAGAGUCGAGUUGCUUGAGAGUGCAACUUAAAGUGCGAGGUAAACUACUCGUAAGGCUACGCAAUACGGCUACGACACCGAUAGCAAACAAGUACCGUGAGGGAAAGUUGAAAUAGAACUUUGCAGAGAGAGUUAAGAGGGCGUGAAACCGUUAAUUGGCAAACGAAUCGGAGCCACGAAGUCGUUUCGUUGGUCAAGUUGCGUCCUGAGUUCAGCCAGGGUGCGCCAGCACUCUGGUGUAUUCUCGUGCGACUAACCAUUUGUAAGCGUACACUGCAACCAGUUAGACAAUUGACAAUGGGCACAGUUGGUCGGCUCCUGGAAGGGGCAACUCUAUCCAGGGGCCGGCUUAACGCAGCAUCUGUUUGUUUGGACUAGUAGUAGCGCCGGCAGGUCUCGUGCUUGUGUCUGGUGUUGCUGGGUCCAUGUAACAAGUGAACUAUCGUCAAAUACUGACUGGCACAAUGAAAAUCGCCCCACACAGUGGGUGUAGCACAGAAUGCAGCACACUGCAUGUAUGGUUACACAGGCGACCGUGCGCUUCAAGUUUGGCAGCUUUGAAUUUGGACCUGCUAGCUACCAAUGGGGCAACUCUUGGUGCUAGUAUGGCUUUCAUCUAAUCGGCUGUCGACUUAAGUGUACGUCGUUCGUUUGUGCUACGAUCGACCACGCAUGCAUGGGUGUUUG